UUUGACAGAAGAGAGAGAGCACAGUUUGAGUCGCCAAUUCCCUUGUAGCUCUCUAGUUUAGUGUCCAU